UACGGGGGGGGCAAGCGUUGUUCGGAAUUACUGGGCGUAAAGGCUCGUAGGCGGCCAACUAAGUCAGACGUGAAAUCCCUCGGCUUAACCGGGGAACUGCAUCUGAUACUGGAUGGCUUGAGUUCGGGAGAGGGAUGUGGAAUUCCAGGUGUAGCGGUGAAAUGCGUAGAUAUCUGGAGGAACACCGGUGGCGAAGGCGGCAUCCUGGACUGGUCCUGACACUCAUGAGCGAAAGCGUGGGGAGCGAGUCCGG
rnacentral:rRNA from 1 species